rnacentral:rRNA from 1 species
AUUGAACGCUGGCGGCAUGCCUUACACAUGCAAGUCGAACGGCAGCACGGGAGCAAUCCUGGUGGCGAGUGGCGAACGGGUGAGUAAUACAUCGGAACGUGCCCAGUAGUGGGGGAUAACCCGGCGAAAGCCGGACUAAUACCGCAUACGACCUACGGGUGAAAGCAGGGGAUCGCAAGACCUUGCGCUAUCGGAGCGGCCGAUGUCAGAUUAGCUUGUUGGCGGGGUAAAAGCCCACCAAGGCGACGAUCUGUAGCUGGUCUGAGAGGACGACCAGCCACACUGGGACUGAGACACGGCCCAGACUCCUACGGGAGGCAGCAGUGGGGAAUUUUGGACAAUGGGCGCAAGCCUGAUCCAGCCAUGCCGC